rnacentral:rRNA from 1 species
UACGGGGGGGGCAAGCGUUGUUCGGAAUUACUGGGCGUAAAGGGCUCGUAGGCGGCCAACUAAGUCGAACGUGAAAUCCCUCAGCUUAACUGGGGAACUGCGUCCGAUACUGAUUGGCUUGAAUCCGGAAGAGGGAUGCGGAAUUCCAGGUGUAGCGGUGAAAUGCGUAGAUAUCGAGAGGAACACCUGCGGCGAAGGCGGGUUGCUGGGCUGAUACUGACGCUGAGGCGCGAAAGCCAGGGGAGGGAACGGG